GCCGAAGUGGUGGAACUGGUAGACACGCUAGGUUCAGGGUCUAGUGGGGGUUGCCCCGUAGGAGUUCGAGUCUCCUCUUCGGCACCA
rnacentral:tRNA from 1 species